CCGGCGAACGGGUGCGGAACACGUGAGCGACCCUGCCCCUGGGAGUGGGGGAUAGCCGGCCCAACGGCCGGGUAAUACCGCAUACGGCCUGCCCCGUUGGGGGCGAGGCGAAACUCGCGCAAGCGGGGUUCUAGGAGGGGCUCGCGGCCUAUCAGCUAGUUGGGGAGGUAACGGCUUCCCAAGGCGAUGACGGGUAGCUGGUCUGAGAGGAUGGCCAGCCACAUUGGGACUGAGAGACGGCCCAG
rnacentral:rRNA from 1 species